rnacentral:ncRNA from 2 species
AAUUAGCUUCAGGGCUGGGUGAGAUUCCCGACCGGCGGUAAGCUGGAGAAAUUCCGGCAAGCCCGCGACUCAGGCACUUACUUUAAAGGAUGCAAAUUCCUAGGGUUGUUUAAGUAGCUCAGGGAUAAGCAGGUGUUAACUAAGUUGCUUCUUUAUGAAGUAAGUGCCUGACUGAUCCGGUUAUAUUCCGGGGCCGACAGUAAAAUCCAUGAACCACUAGAAAUACUCGGGUUCAGGGCUAAGUCUGGAUGGAAGAAGGUGGUG